GAAGAAAUGACAAUGACAUUUAAGAAGAUGGAGUUGGAAAGAAUGUCUGAACUUGAACAAACAUAUAGAUAAGAACUCAGUGCCAGAGGGCUCUAAAGUUAAGAAUGCAUCUUCCUUGUAACAACCCUGUGAGAUGAUAAAACUAACAUGGAUGAAUUUCCCAUGGUCACAUUGUAAGUCAGAAAACAUAGGAUCAUAGUUUCAGAGCUGGAAGGGGCCAUAGAUGUCAUUUCGUUCAGCCCUCUCAUUUUAUAGAUAACUGAGGACCAAAGCGGUUAAAUGACUAGUGCAAGGUUAAAUGUGGUAAAUGGCACAGACAGGAG